rnacentral:rRNA from 1 species
UCCGCAGGCGGGCAAUUAAGUCAGAGGUGAAAUGGUGCGGCUCAACCGUAGCACUGCCUUUGAUACUGGUUGUCUUGAGUCAUGGUGGAGUGGCCGGAAUAUGUAGUGUAGCGGUGAAAUGCAUAGAUAUUACAUAGAACACCGAUCGCGAAGGCAGGUCACUAACCAUGAACUGACGCUGAUGGACGAAAGCGUGGGGAGCGAACAGGAUUAGAUACCCUGGUAGUCC